rnacentral:lncRNA from 1 species
GAGAAUUUUAUGUCAAUAUAAGAAAGAAAAAGAAAGACCAGUGAAAUAUGAUAGAAAGAUCUCACCGAUGGAAGCAGAUCAAUGUCAGAACCAUUGACGAUGAAAUCUAUACCCUGAGGCACAUACCCUCUCCCUGCCACCAGAGUGGCCAACCAAGUCCUGCUGCUGGAAUGAAAGAACCUUCACACACACACACGUUUGCCAUACAAAAGUGAUGAAGAUAUACUACAAGAAGCAUA